GUUUGUUAAAAGUUUAUAAAGCUGUCUGGCCCUGGUAUUUAUUGGUGGGAAGACUUUAACUACUAUAAUUAGACUAUUCAGGAAUUCUAUUUUUUUUUCUUGAGUCAAUUUUGAAAAAAAAUCUAAGCAUUUACCCAUUUUACAAUUUAUUAGCAUAAAGUAGCUUAAGGAAUUUUCUUAUUUCUAAACCUCUCCUGGAUAUGCAUACUUCCUUUUCCGAUACUGUUUGUAUCUUCUCACUUUCUUUUCCUUGGCCGUUUUACCAGAAGUUUGUCUAUUUUAUUUUUUUAAAGAACCAGUCUUAGCUUUGUUCAUUCUCUCUGCCCUUCUCUUUUAUGUUCUGCUUUCUGAUGGUUUGUUCUGUUGUUUUCUCAUUUCAUAAAUUGGACAUUUAACUCAUUCAUGUUCAAGGUUUUUUCUAUUUUUAGUAAGUAUCUGAGUUUAUUUGAAUUACCUCCUUUGCCUCACCCCAUGAUUGAGUGUAUGCAUGUAUACAAACAUGUAUAUAUACACAUUUUUAUUGCUUUUCCAUUCAUAUCUUUACAUUAUGAUUUAUUUGACCUGUUAAUUAUUUUACAGUAUUUUUAAAUGCACAGACUUAAGAGUUUUAUAAAUGUAUUUCCUUUUCAAAAAAAUUUUGUAAUGUUAAUAUCACUAUUAAUAAGACAAUUUUAUAUUUUGUGAAUCCUGAUAAAAUGUGCUGAAGACACAACAUUAAUUAUGUGAUAUUCCUGCCAAAAAUGCAUAACAUGAACAUAGUAGAGAGAAAUAUCAGAAAAAGAUAAAAUGAGGAAUAUCCUACAAAGUUACCAGCCUAUACUUCUCAAAAAUUUCAAGUUAAAGGAGACUAAAGUGACGUGACAAGUACCUGCAGCACGUGUUUCUGGACUGGAUCUUGGUCAAGAAAGCAUUUUUUAAACUUUUGUUCUUUCGGACAUUUUUGAGACAUUCGGUAAAAUUUGAGUAAGGUCUGUAAAUUAUUAAUAGCAUUAUAUCAGUGUGACUUCCUGAUUUUGAUAAUAAUGUCAUGGUUCCUUGAAAAAGUCCUUGUUUUUUAGGAAAUAGACACUGGAGCGUUUAGGGUUAACGGAAUAUUGAUAUGCAACUGAAUCACAAAAGGUUUAGGAAAAAUUAUAGAGAGAGAAAAUGGUAGAGUAAAUGGGGUCAGAUGUUAACCUUUGGAAAAUCUAUGUGGAGGUAUAUGGAUACUUUGUACUGUUUUGCAGAUUUACUGUAAAUCUGGAAUCAUUUCAGAAUAGAAAGUUUAAAAAUAGCUUUUGUUCUAACUAAUUGCAUGUGGUCAAAGAACAUGCGAGUAUGAUAAAGCCUGGGCAAAUUUUUAUAGCCUUUCUCUGCCUCAGCUUUACCAUCUGAAAAAUGGAAAUAAUAGCACCUAUGUCAUAUAUUGUUUGAGAGGAAGUUAAGACACUUAAAGUACUGAGAACUCAUCCAGGCACAAGUAUAUAAAUAUAUGUUGUAGUAGGCUGAAUAAUGGCCCCCAAGACAUCAGGUCCUAAUCCAUGAACCCUAUGUUACCUUACGUGGAAAUGAGGUGUUUGCAGAUGUGAUUAAAUUGGAGAUCUUGAGAUGGGGAGAUUUUCUUGGAUUAUCUAGGUAGGUCCUAAAUGCAAUCACAAGUGUCUUUAAUCAGAGGCAGGGAGAUUGCAGACAGAAGAGGAGAAGGCAGUGUGAUCAUGAAGGUGAGGACUGGAGUGAUGCAGCCACAAACCAAGGAAUAUCAGUAGCCACAAAAAAAAAAAAAAAAAAAAAAAAAAAAAAAGGAAGGGUCAAGGAACAGAUUCUCUCCUAGAAAUUCUGGAGGAUGAAGCAUCCCACCAACAAUUUGAUUUUGGUGUAGUAACACUCAUUUUGGACUUCUGGUCUCCAGGGAACUGUGAGAAUAAAUUUCUGUUGUUUUAAACCACUGAGUUUGUGAUAAAUUUGUUCCAGCAGCCCCAGGAAACACAAAUGUAAAUUGUAUUACCUAUUAGAGGUUUUGUUUGUUUGUUUAGUGUCAGGGUCUCUCUCUGUUGCCCAGACUGGAGUGCAGUGGCGUGACCAUGGCUCACUGCAGCCUCAAACUCCUGGGCUCUUACAAGUGAUCCUCCCUCUUCAGCCUCCUGAAUAGCUAGGACUAUAGGCACUGGCUUUAUAAUUUUUAUUUUUAAAGAUGGGGGUCUCAGUAUGUUGCCCAGGCUGGUCUUGAACACCUGGCCUCCUGCAAUCCUGCCUCAGCCUCCCAAGUAGCUAGGAUUCUAGGCAUGAGUCAUCACACCUAGCUAGAAAAUUUU
rnacentral:lncRNA from 10 species